rnacentral:rRNA from 1 species
GUCGAACGCUGGCGGCGUGCUUAACACAUGCAAGUCGAACGAAGUGGCGAACGGGUGAGUAACGCGUAAUCAACCCGCCCUUCAGAGGGUGACAACAGUUGGAAACGACUGCUACUACUUCAUACUGAAGGUGGGGAGUGCGUGUGAGUAGGUGGUUGGGGGGGUUACGGCCCACCAAGGCGAUGAUCAGUAGCCGGGCUGAGAGGAUGAACGGCCACGUUGGGAUGGAGACACGGCCCAGAAUCCUGCGGGAGGCAGCCGGGGGGAAUCUUCCGAAAUGGACGAAAGUCUGGCGGAGCAACGCCGCGGUAGUGUAGAGGGCCUUCGGGUUGUAAAGCUCUUUUAAUCGGGACGCGGUACCGGAAUAGAAAGCCACGGCUAACUACGUGCCAGCAGCCGCGGUAAUAC